rnacentral:misc_RNA from 1 species
GAUGAAGAACGCAGUGAAAUGCGAUAAGUAAUGUGAAUUGCAGAAUUCAGUGAAUCAUCGAAUCUUUGAACGCACAUUGCGCCCGCUAGUAUUCUGGCGGGCAUGCCUGUUCGAGCGUCAUUUCAACCCUCAAGCUCUGCUUGGUGUUGGGAAUCGGCGUAGCGGCCUUCGGGCAGCUGCCGUUCCCUAAAUCUAGUGGCGGUCCCGCUGUAGCCUCCUCUGCGUAGUAGUUUUCUCCUCGCACCGGCAGCUUAGUGGUGACCUCGCCGUAAAACCCCCAACUUCUGAAAGGUUGACCUCGAAUCAGGUAGGAAUACCCGCUGAACUUAAGCAUAUCAAUAAGCGGAGGA